rnacentral:lncRNA from 1 species
GGCGGUGGGGGUUGGUGAGGCCAAGAUGGCCGCCAUCGGUAUGGGUUGGCCGUUCCAAGAUGGCUGCCGCCACUAUGAGUUGGCCAUCCAAGAUGGCUGCCAGCAGGAUGGGUUGGUGGGUCCAAGAUGGCUGCCACCAUAAUGCAUUGGCCAGACAAGAUGGCCACCAGCAGCAUGGGAUGGCCGAUCCAAGAUGGCCGCCCUACCUGGGAAGGAGCCCCCUGCCUGCUCAUUGGCUGAGCGCUCCAAGAUGGCUGCCAUUCCACGUCCUCGUUGGUUGACCAUCCAAGAUGGCUGCCACCCCCACAGAGUGGCCGAUCCAAGAUGGCCGCCCCGCCUGGGAGGGAUCCUCCUGCCCUCUCAUUGGCUGAGCGUUCCAAGAUGGCUGCCAUUCCACGUCCUCAUUGGUUGACCAUCCACGAUGGCUGCUGCCUUCCUCUCCAUUGGCUCACCCAUCUAAGAUGGCUGCCCUCCUUUGUCCUGAUUGGCUGGACACCCCAAGAUGGCCGCUCGUGCCCAUCCUGGCUGCUCAUUGGUUCCUGCAGAGCUGUGGUGCCCUCCCAUUGGUCGGGGCCAUUUGAUAGUGGGACUUCUGGGCGCCAUCUUGGAGUGACGUCACACUGUGAGCAACGCUGCGUUCCUACUGGCUUGCCGCAGCCUCCCAUCGACCAAUGGCUGUGUCCCGCUGGUCGCGCAACUCCCUCCGCCCAAUCACAGCGUCCCGUUGGCCGAGCGGAGCGUCCUGAUUGGCCGAGCUCUUCCCCUUGUCCAAACGGCAGCUUCCCAUUGGCUGUGCUCAUCUCAAUGGCCUAUCAGAGCCGCCCGUGGACCUCAGAACUCCCUCCCCCCCCCCCCGUGCCUCAUAAGCUCCGCCCCCGAUCCUUUAAGCCCCGCCCCUCCCGGGGAUGGGGCUCUGCGGACCAAUAAACAAUCACCGGAAGUGACG